GCUGGGAACUCUACCACAGCUGCGGUGGCCUUAGAGGUAGGAAGAAGCAUCUUGACAGGUUCUGCAAAGACUUAUAAGGAUAUAAAGAGGAGGAUGAAUUGAAAAGACGUAGAAGAGCGUGAAGCAGAAAGUGCCAUAGUUCUGGAGUCUGUAAUGUUCUUCUGAUCAUUUUCACUGAUGGAUGAUCCUUCACAACAAGAUUUGGGAGAUUUAUGCAGUUAUGAUGAGAACCAGUAUAAACUUUCAAGGUGCUUCUUUUCUAAGGAACUCUAAAACUACUUGCCAUUUUGAUGAAGACUCAGUCCUGUGGGUGCAAGUCCAUGAAUCUCUCUGGUAGAGUUUGUGUUGAGAGCACAUGCCUGGAUGGACAGAACUCCCUCUUCAAAGAAAAGACUUUGAAAGCAAGAAUGAAGUUGGACAACUCUUCAAAUGGUUUCAGAAUUAGCCCUGGAAUAAGAUGAUAGAGAUCGUACAACUGGGUCUUACUGUUAAAUGCUGGUU
rnacentral:lncRNA from 1 species